rnacentral:rRNA from 1 species
AGCGAACGCUGGCGGCAGGCCUAACACAUGCAAGUCGAGCGGCCGUAGCAAUACGGCAGCGGCAGACGGGAGAGUAACACGUGGGAACGUGCCCUUUGGUUCGGAAUAACGCAGGGAAACUUGCGCUAAUACCGAAUAAGCCCUUACGGGAAAGAUUAUCGCCAUUGGAGCGGCCCGCGUCUGAUUAGCUAGUUGGUGGGGUAACGGCGUCACCAAGGACGACGAUCAGUAGCNGGUCUGAGAGGAUGAUCAGCCUCACUGGGACUGAGACACGGCCCAGACUCCUACGGGAGGCAGCAGUGGGGAAGUAUUGGACAAUGGGCGCAAGCCUGAUCCAGCCAUGCCGCGUGGAUGAUGAA